rnacentral:lncRNA from 12 species
GAAAAAGAAAGAAAGAGAGAAAGAAAGAAGGAAAGGUUUAUCUCUGACCUUUUGGUCUUACAGGGAAGGGAAGGGAAGUUUCAGGGAAGGGAAGUUUCAGGGAAGGGAAGGGAAGUUUCAGGGAAGUUUCAGGGAAGUUUCAGGGAAGUUUCAGGGAAGGGAAGGGAAGGGAAGGGAAGGGAAGGGCUGCCUCUGUACAAAAAGAAAGAAUAACGUUGUUUCUCUACAAGUCCCUGACAGGAGGGGCAGCGAGGUGGGAUCAGGCUCUGCUCCUGUGUCCCAAGGGAAGGAAUGAGAGGAAAAUCCUUACACUCCUCCAGGGGAGGGUCAGAUUGGAC